CGUGUGAGGGGGGACGGUGGUUGCCACGCUGAGGCCCCGGGGCCAUUGCGGGAGGGACACAGGGAAAGCGGGAAGCUCAGGGCCGAGUGGACACAGCCACAUCCCAGGUGGGGGAGCCCACUGAAGCCGGAGGGGGGCGCGGGGAGGAGUCUGGGGUGCCGAGGCCAGGGAGGGACACGUCCAGGUGGGAACGUCCCGGACCCAGGGAGGAGUCCGAGCCGGCAGGAGGCGGGUCGCAGGGUGGAGGCCUGGGCUGGGGCGAGCCCGGUGAGGGGCCAAGUGCGAAGGCGCUUCUGAGCUCGCGGGGCAGCGCAAGCCACGUUUCUGGUGAGCACAGACCGGGGUGCCCCUCAUGGCGGAACGUUCUCCGGCGGCUUCUGAGGGGCCGGCAGGGGCGUCAGGCUGCCUGGCCCCAUCCCGUUGUGCCGCCCUCCACUUACCUGGCCUUGAAAAGGCCUCUCUGCGCCUUGGUUCCCUUCAGAGAACACGGGGACGGGGACAGCGCCCACCUCUCGGAGGCCCAGGCCAGUCCCCCGGGGACAGCCCUGUGCUCCGUGCUCUCUUUAGCGUCGGCCACGGCUGCUGGCAAGGGAAACAGGCUUGGUGUGGUCCCAGCGUGGCUGUUUCUCAGACAUCACCGCGUGGGGCUGGGGCCUGAAGCCUCUCGGGCCACCGCCCGUGGGUCAGCAGGGCCACCGUCAGGAGUGCCCGUCCCUGUGCGGGACCGGCUGCGAAGGGCACAGAGACCCUUCCUACCCCCGGCGGGGGUGGGGCGGGAUGCCACAGGGGAGAGGCAAGAUCGCCGGGCCAGGUCACCGGGAGCGGAGUUCCAGAGAGUCCAGGAAAGAAGGACAGGCUAGGCUGGCCCUUUCCAGGGUGUGUGGGAUCGGACGAGACAGGAGCAGGGAGGGCAUCUGGGGAGGAGGGGCUGGACACGGUGGGGAGCACCGUGACACCGCUCCGCCCUCGUGUCUGCAGGCCCCCCGGGGGCACGGAUGUCCGGGGUCCCCAGAAUCCCGCAGACAGUGCACACAGAGCGCAGCCCAGGCCUGGGGAUGGUGCGUGAGGCAGCCCCAGCUCCCACGACCGGGUGUUGGUCCCCAGAAAGUGUGUCCCUGCCCCAGGGCUGGAGCCUGUGACUGCGACCUUACAUGUGGUCAUUAGAUGGUAAACGAUGCAGUCAAGUUAAGCAUUUGGGGAGACAGCCUUCGUCCGGGUCACCCGGAUGGGCCCUGUUCUGAUGGCAGGUGUGCUCCUAAGACAGUGGCAGAGGGAGACUGGGCACACACGCGAGGCCUGGCGAGCACGCAGCCCCGGGAGCUGCAGGAGGCAGGGAGGACCCUCCCCGGAGCCCCUGGCGGGAGCACAGCCCCACAAAACCUUGAUUGCAGACGUCUGCUCCCCACGGAGAUGGAUUCUGUUGUGUCGGGUCACCCACUUUGCACCCGCGGUCCUGGACACGCCAGCCUGGGCCCUGGUCUCUGGGAGGACCCGGGACCUCGCAGACGGGUGAAGGCCGAGACCCAGAGAGAAGCAGGCAGCAGAAGCCUUCCCGGGUCAUCGAGGACCGUCCUCACCCACCCUGUGGGGCUCUCACAGAAGCUCCAGGGCUGAGGGACCCUGGACCUCUGGAUUCCAGAGGGUCAAGGGGGCCUGACUGUCAGACACGAUCCAUGGGUGCAGACAGCGGGCGGGACAGGGGUCAGGGAGUGCGGAGGCCGAGGCCAGUGGAGGUCCCGGGGAGGCUCUGGUCUGCAGCUCACCCCGGAGGCCGGCAAGCCGCGCCCACCAGAGUUGGUAAGGGGGUGCCCCCAGCAGCUCCCAGGACACCCCGUCCUCUGUGUUCCAGGGCACGUGCCUCGAGGCUCCCGGAGAAGUGCAUGCUCCCCACAAGGCUGCAGGCUCCAGCGGGGACUCGGGUGAAGACACCCCGAGUGUCCUGGGCUGUAAAUAAAUGACGGAAGCCUGGGGACUCAUAACCAAAGAGACGUACUGUCCCCUGGUCUGCAGCCGGAGCCUGAAAUCGAGUCACCAGUCACUGCUGCGACCCCACGCUGACCUGAGAGCAUCUGCAAAGCCUUUUCGUACCAACGAGGCCGAGUCCCGGGUCUCGGGACACAGAGUCUUUGGAGGACACAAGUCCACUCGCUGCCCACGCUGGCAAAGGGCCAGGCCUCUGACUACCGCCGCCUCCCCCGGCCCAGCUGCCUGGUGUGUGACCGGGGCGAGGCGCGCGCCCCUGCGCCUACCUUCUCCCCGAAAGAGGGGCGACACGGGGAGCCCUCCGUGGACCGUGGUGCCUGCGCCCGGGGCCGGCCGGCAGCUCUGAAUCGUCAGCGGACACCCAGGUCGGGAGUUUCAGGAACUCUCCGCUGUUGCCGGAUGCCGACGCUCACGGCCCGGCAGUGGAAGCCACCCUCACGGUGAACAGAGUGCGCGGGCGGGCGGUUUCUGGGGCGCAGCUGGUCCCCGUUUGCGUCUCUCCGACCAAAGCGCGGAGCUUUCUUAAAGUCGGAGACGUGCCCGCCCGCCCAUCCGCACCGGGGGCUCUGUCUCCCGGACAGACGUCCACGGAGCCCACGCGCACAGGGUUGCGCGAGGACCACGGGCGCGCGGCCAAACGAGAGGGGGGAGGGAAGCAAGCGUCAAAGCCACGGAGGCACGGGUCACGGGGGGCCUGCGGCUCCCACGCGAAGACGCGGCGGCGCUCGGCGGUCCUCACGCGGGUGACCGGGGCCGGGGCUCGCCCUGCGCUGGAGGACACGUGACGGAAAUGAGCCACCACGUGCAUGAACGCGGCCGCUUAACUUCACACGGAGGGACCAUUUUAAAUGAAUUUAAAACAGUAAUUUGUACAUCAUUAGCGGCUAAAUCCUCAGAUUGAAAAUGACAUUAACCCGCGUCUGUAAACAGAUGGUCGGUAAUCUCGAUAUUAUUGUUCAUACCGCGAUCGGUUAGCUAUUUCUUAACGGGUGCCGUGUGCGCGCGCUGCUCGGGCGGGGUGUCGGCGCGGGGGGUCCGCGCUCAGCGGGGGCUGUGCGGGGGCGCGGGCGGCGGGGAGGGGCGCGGACCCCAGGCCCGGCUCGCCCCGAGGGAGGGGAGCACUUUCCUCCGCACACCCCUUCGGGGAGCCCCCGCUCGCUGUGCCCCAAGAACGAGGUGUCUGAGGGUGUGGACCCGCUGCCGCCUCCCCUGCACGGAGGGAAGGGCUGUUUUUCCGCGGAGAAGAGGGGCUGGUGGCCCGCUCUCACCACGUCCCCUGCAGGCUGGUCCCGGGGCAGCCGUGUGUCAGACGAGAUCAAGCAGCGUCGUCUUGGGUUUGUGGAGCUGACGUGGGUAAGCGUUUUCCUGGUGUUACCUGUGCUAUGCGUGCGUGUGCAAUUCCCAUCACACGUGCGUGCACACACCAUCCGUGUAUUUACACAUGCGUGGCAUCCAGCGCAAGGCCUGAUGGGGCACCAGACCCCCCUCAUCCAGGGCCCUUGGGCUUCUGUGCCACCGCCGGCCCCGGGACCGCAUUCUGGUCCCGCCACCGCCUCAGUUCCGCGGCCCUGGCCCUGCUGUGGGAAGGUGACGCCCUCCGCUGCUGGCGGUCUCGCUCUGUGCGCGAUGGCGACCCAGACGCUGGACCCCGCCGUCCGUGUACCCGCGUCUGAAGAGCCCGCCGCUUCUCCAGAUUCUCCGGACCCGAGCAGGGCCCAGAGGGUCGGUAGGAACCGGGCAUCGGCCUCCCAACGGGCUCCCCACGCGGCUCGGCCUGUCCCGCCCGAGGCUCGCGCUCACACGCGCGCACGGCGCUGUGUCCCGGCCGCGGUGCAGCCGGGCGGCUAACGGAGCGCCUGCGGGAACGGGUGUAGACUGCCCCAGUGCAGGGUCACCCGCCCGCCCGAUCCGUGGACCGUCUCGCGGGGCCGCGGCGGCUCCCUCAGCCGCUCACACGUCCCACUUAGAGAUGUGGCUUCUUCUGUUUCCUCUCCCUUCACUUCCUAGACGCUCGAGACCGCUGUCCGUCUUUGUCUCGUUCUGCCCGACGAUCACGAUCACGGGGGACCGUCUGAUAAGUAAAUGCUCGCGUCCCCGUCCCGCAAGAAGAGAGGCAUGGCUGUCCCCCUCCAUCACCGACGGGGACGCAGAGGCACAGAGAGGCCAAGCGUCCUACCCAGUGCCACACAGGAGGGAGGGGCCGAGGCUCUGCUGCGCGGGGACGGGGACGGGGACGGGGAGGGGACACGACUGUGCCCUCUGACACCCCCGGGGACUCGGGGGCCUGGCAGGGAGCGUCCUGCAGGCUCCCCCUGAGAACCCCGCGCCCCCAGCGGUUCAGGCGACCCCUCCGCUCUUUCAGCUCCGCGGGAAUGGAGGUGGCACACGCCCCCGAGCGCAUGUGGCCGCGUCCCUCUGCUGGCGGGCCUCGUGACGUGCGCCCUGCCCGGGGGACUACAGGCUCCUGAGGGCCAAGCCCACCUGGAUCUCCCCACUCCUGCCCCUUCCCCAUACGGAGCAGAGAGAGCAGGGGCGCCUGGGGGCUCAGCAUUGGUCUCGCCGCCCUGCACCCAGAACCUGGUGCCUAGUACCAAGUACCCAGUACCCACUGCCCAAUAUUCACUACCUAGUACCAAUGCCCGGGUCUAGCGCCCAGUACCCGGUACCCGGUAACCCAGCACCAAUGCCCAGUACCUGGUACCUGGUACCUGAGGCUUGGUGCCCACCACACAGUACUCAGUGCCACUGCCCAUGCCUGGUGCUCAAUACCUAGGACCUGGUGCCUACAACCCAAUGCCAAUGCCUAGUACCCAGUGCCCAGUGCCUGGUACUCAGUACCUGAUGCCUGCUACCCAGUGCCUGGUGCCCGGCACUCAGUGCCCAGUACCAGCACCUGGGUUGGUCUUGCCCAGGCCCAGCAUUAGGCUUUCCACCUCCACACCAGGGCUGCCCCGAGCUCCUGGAUGGCCUCCCGCCACACACACACCAGCCUCCUGGUGCUCAGACAUCUGCUCUCUGGUCAACUGCCUCUUUAGGGGCCUGGACCUGGCCCAGGGCCACCGGUUCCAGCCCACCCCCCCGGACGCCCUCUGCCUGGAGCCCCCGACUGCUGCUGUGCUCAGCAGAGUGGCACCCCCGUUGACCCAGGAGGGGGUGCUCCAAAGGCCCUGCUCCCUUGAGCCUUGGGGGGCUGGACCCCUAACUUACCCCUGAGUCAAACGAUUCUGACAGAUCUGUCCCCAGACUUCCCCCAUGAUGGCACGCAGCCAAGUGUCCCCCGAGGGAGCAUCAGACACGCCCACACGCCCUCACCCGGCACUGGGGGGCCCGAGGUUCCCACCCGGAUGGGCUCAGGGGGCGAGCCGGCCACAGAGAAAGUGAGGAGACGGAUGAUCCUGUGCCCCGGACGUCCCGGCUGGAAACCAAGUAAAAGUACCUCACGCACAACCCGGAGGGAAACACACACCAACCGUGACGUCACCUGCAGAAGGGAGGGAGCCCGGUGUGCAUGGAUGUGCUUUCAGCCCGGAUCCACCUGUGUUGAGGGCCCAGACCCCCUUAGGAAGGGGCACAGAGUCAGUCUGCAUACGGGGGUGGCUGUCUCCCCCUCCCCAUAUCUGCCAGGGCCACCAGGGCACGUGGCACCAGCCUUUCUUGGGUCCAAAUAAAGCGGCCACCAUGAA